CAGAGAGCCAGCAUGCUGUGGUUUGGGGGUCUCCAGUUGGGGAUCCUGUUUCAUCACCGGACCCACAAUCACUGGAAACGCUGUACUGUCCAAAUCCUCCAGCACUGAGGCUUCCACUGCAAUAGCGGAGUCAGUCCAGAGCCGGUUGCAUUGCCUUGUGUCUGUAACUCCUCAGGACAUGUACAGUAAGAUCUCAUUACCUGCUGCAUGAUGGCCACUUCCGCCUUCACAAGUG